rnacentral:rRNA from 1 species
GUGGGGAAUAUUGGACAAUGGGCGAAAGCCUGAUCCAGCCAUGCCGCGUGUGUGAAGAAGGUCUUCGGAUUGUAAAGCACUUUAAGUUGGGAGGAAGGGCAGUAAGUUAAUACCUUGCUGUUUUGACGUUACCGACAGAAUAAGCACCGGCUAACUUCGUGCCAGCAGCCGCGGUAAUACGAAGGGUGCAAGCGUUAAUCGGAAUUACUGGGCGUAAAGUGCGCGUAGGUGGUUCAGCAAGUUGGAGGUGAAAUCCCCGGGCUCAACCUGGGAACUGCCUCCAAAACUACUGGGCUAGAGUACGGUAGAGGGUAGUGGAAUUUCCUGUGUAGCGGUGAAAUGCGUAGAUAUAGGAAGGAACACCAGUGGCGAAGGCGACUACCUGGACUGAUACUGACACUGAGGUGCGAAAGCGUGGGGAGCAAACAGGAUUAGAUACCCGGGUAGUCC